rnacentral:rRNA from 1 species
UAGUGAGUUUGAUCCUGGCUCAGAACGAACGCUGGCGGCAGGCUUAACACAUGCAAGUCGAACGGUUGCAGCAAUGCAGCAGUGGCAGACGGGUGAGUAACGCGUGAGAAUCUGCCUUUUGGAUCGGGACAACCACUGGAAACGGUGGCUAAUACCGGAUAUGCCUAUGGGUGAAAGAUUAAUUGCCAGAAGAAGAGCUCGCGUCUGAUUAGCUAGUUGGUAGGGUAACGGCCUACCGAAGGCGACGAUGCGUAGCC